UUUAGCUGUUAAAAUCUUAAAAGGUCUAGGAGUAAAUCGCCCACUGAAGCUAAGCUAGUUGUCACCUGGUCAGUACCUGGAUGGGAAACCACAUGGGAAAGCUCGGUUGCUGCCGGAA
rnacentral:rRNA from 1 species